GGAUCAGACCCGAAACCGAGUGAUCUAGGCAUGACCAGGCUGAAGGUAAGGUAACACUUACUGGAGGACCGAACCCACAUCCGUUGAAAAGGAUCGGGAUGAGCUGUGCCUAGGGGUGAAAGGCCAAUCAAACUCGGAGAUAGCUGGUUCUCUGCGAAAUCUAUUUAGGUAGAGCGUCAUCCGAAUACCCCGGGGGGUAGAGCACUGGAUGGGUAAUGGGGCCCCACAGGCUUACUGAUCCUAACCAAACUCCGAAUACCCGGGAGUACUAGAUGGCAGACACACUGCGGAUGCUAACGUCCGUAGUGGAGAGGGAAACAACCCUGACCUACAGCUAAGGCCCCCAAUUCAUGGCUAAGUGGGAAAGCAGGUGGGACGACCAAAACAACCAGGAGGUUGGCUUAGAAGCAGCCAUCCUUUAAAGAUAGCGUAACAGCUCACUGGUCUAAAUAAGUUGUCUUGCGGCGAAGAUGUAACGGGGCUCAAGCCAUGAGCCGAAGCUUAGGAUGCCGUAAGGCAUGGUAGCAGAGCGU
rnacentral:rRNA from 1 species